AUACAAAGCCAGAGAGGAGAGGGUUUGGAUGAGCUUCCAGGUAGCUGGAAGGUGGUCAAGGCACAUGUGGAGCUGAGGGGAGGGUGUGUGCCCAGAGAGGGCAUGGAAGCUCUGCACUCCUUCCUACCUCUCACCCUAUGCAUCUUUUCCACACAGCUGCUCCUUUGUAAUAUCCUUUAAAGUGUUUCCCUGAGUUCUGUGAGCUGCUUUAGCAAAUUAACUGAACUGAGGAGGGGACUGGGGGAACCCUGAUUUAUAAUUGGUCAGUCAGAAGCAUAGGACACAACCUGGGAGCUGUGACUGGCAUCUGAAGUAGCAGGCAGUCUUGUGGGACUGAGACCUUAACCUGUGGAUCUGAUGCUAUCUCCAGGAUCAAGAUAUUUUAACUUCUGUGUUUAGCGCCUUUAAUAGAUUGAGCUAAGAAGUCUAAGCAAUCUUCAGGGCUAAGAAACAAGCUGCACUUGCCAGAGUUGGAUGUCCACACCUUGGUGAUGGCUGAUAUUAAACAGAAUUCUUAAUGAACAAAUCGGCCUUGAAAAGGGAACAUGGUGAAGCAAGACAAAAGAAUUACAAACUUUGACUGAAACUUUCUCCUACCAGGAAUACAGGGACCGCUCACCAGGUUGUGAUGAGAAGGAUCAUCUGAAAUGCUCCAUUGCUCUCAGAAGUUGAGGUAACUUCAUUGGGCCCAAACUGAUAAACUAGGAAUGGCUCAGAAAAUAGCCCCUUAGAAGAACUGUAUGAAGCUUGGAUCCAUUUUUCUGAUUUAGAGAAAAAAGAAAAAUCCCUCCAAUGAUUCGGUGAGGAGUUGAAGACAAAUAUCUUUAUUAUUUAUAAGUAUUCUGGCCAAGACAAUGAGUGUUGGAGUGGGAGGAUGAGGGAAUUUUAUGAUGAACGACAGCACAGCAAGAUGGACAGUAAGGCUCUGUCAUUGCCAUACCAGAUGUACAGAAGUGGUAUUUCAACUAAGGACACUGAAUAUGAAACAGACCUUGGAAAAGAGAGGAUGGAGUUAACUCUGAGAACAGAAAUCACCUAACUCUCUCCUCCCUAAACACACAGCUUACUGUCUAUAAUAAUAUACCCUUACUGGUCCAUUGUCCUCGUUAACAUAACUACAAUUCCAGGAGGCUCUUGCCCAGGCAAAUUGCUUUAUUGUUCAUUACAGAGAGUUUUUGAAACAAAGAACCAUCAAUGCUUCAACAGAAAGCAUCAACAGUUUAUACCCCAAGAUCUUAGAACUCCUCACUUCCAAAUCCUCACUAUGCUAAUCCUAAACUAUUAUGUCAUGAUUUUUACCUAAACAAGACCCUGCAUGGAAAGAUCCUCUUUAUACAAUCUUUCAUUUUUUGUCCUGGCUUUAAAAUGCAAAGCCCAUAUCCUUGGAAUUCCCUCUGUCUUGGGCAAAGUGUGACAGUUGGCCACCCUACUCCAAAAUCUCAUAAUUUUCCCACCUUGCCCCUCUAGAGACUAUCAAUCUCUGUUGAGGUGGUUCUCUCUUUCCAGGGUGAGCAAUAAACUCCUUGCCAGAGCUUUCCACUGGGGGAGGAGGGUUUGAACUUCUGCCAGAGACAAACAGAUGUAAACUAGAUGCAGGAGUUUGGAAAUUGAGCGGGGUUUGUAAUCUGGAAAAUUGCUCCACAAGAGACUGUCGUUGAACGAGUAGUCCUGAGUGAGUGGUCUAAGAGAACGUCAGAGUAAAAGAAAAUGCAGCCCACCUGGUCAGCUGAAAAGGUAGAGAAUAAAAGGGAAAUGAAAUGCAGCUGCUAGUAACAGUUGAUUAAAUGAGGCUGGCAACUUACAUGGAGGCUGGAAGAGGAGAAAUGCGGGAGAGGCAGCAAGGAAAGAGAAGGAAACAUGAAAGAGGAGAAGAUUUCUGGAAGGAAAUGUAAGAGCUACAAAGGAGAAAGAUGAAUGAGAGACCCCACAAGAAAACAGCAGGGAAAAGAAGCUGCUUUCUGAGGUAAGGCAACAGCUUACCACUUGCUCACAAGUGACUUUUGAAAAGUAUCUCCUGAAGCAGAGAAGGGGUGGAGUGGUCGUAGACUGCCAGUAGUUUAGCUAAAUGGUGAGAGAUAACAGCUGGGUGUGGUGGCGCAUGCCUGUAAGCACUUUGGGAGGCCGAGGCAGGUGGGAGGCUGAGGCAGGUGGGAGGCCGAGGCAGGUGGAUCAGUUGAGGUCAGGAGUUAAAGACCAGCCUGGGCAACGUGGUGAAACCCUGUUUCUACUAAAAAUGCAAAAAUUAGCCGGACGUGGUGGCUUAUGUCUGUAAUUCCAGCUAUUUGGGAGGCCAAGACACGAGAAUCGCUUGAACGCAGGAGGCAGAGGUUGCAGUGAGCUGAGAUUGUGCCACUGCACUCCAUCCUGGGCGAAAAAGCAAGACUCUGUCUCAAUCAAUCAAUCAAUCAUUAAAUAGAGAGGUAACAUAAGAAGCAAAUGCAACUAGUAAAACCUUUUCAAAGAUAGGAAGAAAGGAAGGGCAGAAGUGAGUACAAAAGAACAUCUAAUCAGAGAAGGGUGAAAGAGGCGUUCAAAUUUGAAUGUCUUCAAGCAUGCCUGUGAGGGUGAAUUUGAAUCACACCAUUUUGAGUUAAGCAAUUAUGGCCUGAGUGUGCAGGAGGCUAGCUAUGCUGCCAGAAAGCUGGAGACAUUGGAAGAAAGAAAAGCUGUUUGUAAUACAGCACACUAGGAAUGGAGAUGCCCUCCAGAGCUGAAGAUGGCUGUGCCUCCAGCAACCUGAGGCCCUGAGUGACUGCCUGAAGGUGGCUGCUCUGCGCUCCCACUCAUCCAUCCAGUACUCUCCCAUGAGCAAGCAGUAAACCUCACUCACUAAGGGCUGUAACAUGUCUGUAUUUUUGUCUAUUUCUUAUAGUAAUUCACCUACCCAAACUAAUAAGCAUAAAUAAAAUUCCAAAAAUAUAGAGUACUCUGUUCAUAGUGGGCACGUCUAGCAGAUAGGUUUAAAAAGAAGGAAUGUGGAAUUUUCACUUUUUAUUUUAUCUCAAUCAAAAAAAAGUAAUAAAGAGGAUGCAAAAAAUCUCAAACUUU